AAACCAUGAUAGAGGCAUUGCCUUUGUAAAUCUUUAAACCUCUCCUAAGCUUCAUAUAAAGAUUCGUCAUCCCUUUGGUAAAAAGUGGCGAUCUCAUUUCUCAAUUU